CCUACAGGAGGCAGCAGUGGGGAAUAUUGCACAAUGGGGGAAACCCUGAUGCAGCGACGCCGCGUGAGUGAAGAAGUAUUUCGGUAUGUAAAGCUCUAUCAGCAGGGAAGAAGAAAGACGGUACCUGACGAAGAAGCACCGGCUCACUACGGGCCAGCAGCUGCGGUUAUACGUAGGGGGCAAGCGUUAUCCGGAUUUACUGGGUGUAAAGGGAGCGUAGACGGCUGUGCAAGUCUGAAGUGAAAGCCCAGGGCUCAACCCUGGGACUGCUUUGGAAAAGGUGGAGCUAGAGUGCUGGAGAGGUAAGUGGAAUUCCUAGUGUAGCGGUGAAAUGCGUAGAUAUUAGGAGGAACACCAGUGGCGAAGGCGGCUUACUGGACAGUAACUGACGUUGAGGCUCGAAAGCGUGGGGAGCAAACAGGAUUAGAUACCCCAGUAGUC
rnacentral:rRNA from 1 species